UACUUGGAUAACUGUGGUAAUUCUAGAGCUAAUACAUGCAAACAGAGCUCCGACCGGAGACGGGAGGAGUGCUUUUAUUAGAUCAAAACCAAUCGGUGGCGGGUUCGCUCGUCAUCGUACAACUUGGUGACUCUGAAUAACUUUACGCUGAUCGCACGGUCAUCGCACCGGCGACGCAUCUUUCAAAUGUCUGCCUUAUCAACUGUCGAUGGUAGGUUCUGCGCCUACCAUGGUUGUAACGGGUAACGGGGAAUCAGGGUUC
rnacentral:rRNA from 1 species